rnacentral:rRNA from 1 species
GACUGACUAAGAGUUUGAUCCUGGCUCAGGACGAACGCUGGCGGCGUGCUUAACACAUGCAAGUCGAACGGGGUGUUUAUUUCGGUAAACACCAAGUGGCGAACGGGUGAGUAACGCGUAAGCAAUCUACCUUCAAGAUGGGGACAACACUUCGAAAGGGGUGCUAAUACCGAAUGAAUGAGAGAUGGCCGCAUGGAUAUUUCUCUAAAGGAGGCCUCUGAAAAUGCUUCCGCUUGAAGAUGAGCUUGCGUCUGAUUAGCUAGUUGGUGAGGGUAAAGGCCCACCAAGGCGACGAUCA